rnacentral:lncRNA from 1 species
GCUCAUCACUGGUCAGGGCUCCCGUUUCCUUUGGGAUGUCAUAGACACCUGUUUGUCCAAAGGAGGCUGAGUCUGCCAGGUGCCUCGGCAGAAGUUGAGCCAAGUCUUGGGCUGCUGACCAUUUGCAGGGGUGGAGCUCUGCCUUGCCAGAAUUUCUCUUCUCUGGAGAAGGAAGACAGAGUUUUUAGUGUCAACAUGUCUGGUAUCAGGAGGUGUGAGUGUAAAGUAACAAAGAGGAGACAAGCUCAAUCCCUGAGAAGGAGUCCUGGAAUCACUGCUCUCUGGGCACUGCUCUGGGAGGUUGGUGUUCAGGGGAGAUGGAGCCCAGCUAUGUUUUCCUAGGUGUGCAUGGCAACCUGCUGAUUGCUGUCUCGCCAGAAUAAACUCUAAACCUUUCCAGCUGCUCUUAAUCUGGCCCCUUAACCUUUAAAAAAACCAGAGGCUUUCCAUUCCUCAGAGCCAAACUUUGCUAACAGUAUCUAGGUUGUUUUCAAACCAAGCUUCAAACAUAAAAAUGACUAAUAAAUCCAUAUUCCAUAAUCGUUAGGCUGGAAAACUAGUAUUUUAAAACAGACUCAGUUUUUAUGACCCAUUUCUAAUAAAAAUCCCAAGUAUGCUUCACUAAUGCUCCCAUUCCAGAUACUCAGAUCCCAGAUGAUAGGCAAGCUAUCCAGAUAGAUGCACCAAUAAAUCUGUAAAGGCUGUAAAUCUGUCUCAAAUUAGUGAUUCGUAGAUGUGGGAGGGAGAAGAGGGCUGGGAAAUGCUGUUUUCUGACCUGCUCGUUUCCCGACUUAAGGCUCUGUCACCUCUCAGCUGGUGCUUGUACUUUUCUGUGGCUUGUAUUAAGUGCUAAAUACAUUACUCCACGCUCUUCGGGGGACCCGGGCUUUUGCACAGACUUUUAGUCUGAUUCCACUGGUGUGAAGAGCAAUUUUGGGUCAGGGUCACGGCCAGAGUGCCCCUGGAAUGCUGAGGAGUGGGAGUGAGGUGGCUUUUGAGGGAGGGAACGGCAGCUUUGGGAUGGAGCUGCAGCCCAGAGAUCCAUAACGCCCUGGGAUUCCCAUUCAGGCUUCCUACUGAAACAACCCCACAGCCUGCAGCGAUCAUAAACCCACAAACAUCCCCUUGCUGACUCUCUUACUGCCUCCUAAUUGCCCCACCCUGACAGGCGGAUUUAUGCCCUGGCUGCCGGCGGCGGUGCCAGGGAGAGGCUGGGAUAGUGGGAUGGGAUAAUGGGAUGGGACAGUGGGAUGGGAUAGUGGAAUGGGAUGGGAUGGGAUGGGAUGGGAUGGGAUGGGAUGGGAUGGGAUGGGAUGGGAUGGGAUGGGAUGGGAUGGGAUGGGAUGGGAUGGGAUGGGAUGGGAU